rnacentral:piRNA from 1 species
UGAAUCACUUUCUUUUUCUGUGGGU